UACGUAGGGGGCAAGCGUUGUCCGGAUUUAUUGGGCGUAAAGAGCGUGUAGGCGGCCUGACAGGUCUGCUGUGAAAACUCGAGGCUCAACCUCGAGAUGUCGGCGGAAACCGUGUGGCUAGAGUCCGGAAGAGGAGAGUGGAAUUCCUGGUGUAGCGGUGAAAUGCGCAGAUAUCAGGAAGAACACCAAUGGCGAAGGCAGCUCUCUGGGACGGUACUGACGCUGAGACGCGAAAGCGUGGGGAGCGAACAGG
rnacentral:rRNA from 1 species